rfam:Archaeon GW2011_AR21 QT12_C0007, whole genome shotgun sequence.
GGGCCCGUGGUUUAAUGGUAGAAUUUCUGCUUGACGUGCAGAAGAAGGCGGUCCGAUUCCGCUCGGGCCCA